rnacentral:miRNA from 1 species
AGUUGUGCAUGAAUGACU